GUAAACAUAGUUUAAUAAAAACGUUAGAUUGUGAUUCUAAAAACAAGAGAUAAAAACUCCUUGUUUACC
rnacentral:tRNA from 2 species